rnacentral:lncRNA from 1 species
CAGGAGAUAGCCAAAACCGUGGGCCUUGGUUCAAGGCAAGGAAAUCAAGAUAAACCAGCUUGUUGGUUUAAUUUAAUUACUUUGUAAGGGGUUUGGUUAUUGGGCUUUCAUUUAAUUUAAACCAAAGACAAUUAGGAUUUUAAAAUAAACCAAUUUCAAUUGGAUUAGGAUUAGAAUUAGAAUUAAACCAUCUUGGUUUACUUCUAGGGUUUUCGAUUUCCUUUAAGAACAUGGGGGACGUAGUUUUGUUUUCUUAACUUUCAAUCUAAGAAUUAUUCAGUCAACUUUGUUGUCUUGUCU